rnacentral:lncRNA from 1 species
CAUACGUCUCAAGAUUCGUACAACAUUAUACACUGUAUAUUCUGUUAAGUCCUUUAUUAAUGCUGCACGAAUCUUGAAGCAAUCUGACAGCUAAAAAAUCACAAACACGUUAAGAUCCUGUACUUUUAAAAGUAUAGGAGCUCAACUCUCUUUCUCUCUCUUUAUAUAUAUAUAUAUACAUAUAGAACUAUGAUAAAAUACUGUUAAUAGUAUCAAGUCAUUGGUGCUAUUAGAUUUUCGGUCCUUAGAUAAUAGUGGUUCUCUNUUUUUUCUAUUUAAAUUCGACUUGAAAAGCUCAUAUAUAGAACUAGGAUAAAAUACUAUUAAUAGCAUCAAGUCAUUGGUGCUAUUAGAUUUUCGGUCCUUAGAUAAUAGUGGUUCUCUAAAAUAUAGUAGGUAGUUAAAAUACUAUUAAUAACAUCAAGUCAUUGGUGCUAUUAGAUUUUCGGUCCUUAGAUAAUAGUGGUUCUCUAAAAUGCAGUAGGUAGUUGGUGGAAUAGUAUAAUCUAAGAGAUAAAAAUAAUCAAAAUAGUAGAUCUAAUAACGAAAAAUUUGAUAGCAUCAAACACUUAGGGCCAUUAGUAACAUU